UACGUAGGGUGCAAGCGUUAAUCGGAAUUACUGGGCGUAAAGCGUGCGCAGGCGGUUUUGUAAGUUUGACGUGAAAUCCCCGGGCUCAACCUGGGAAUUGCGUUGGAGACUGCAAGGCUGGAGUCUGGCAGAGGGGGGUAGAAUUCCACGUGUAGCAGUGAAAUGCGUAGAGAUGUGGAGGAACACCGAUGGCGAAGGCAGCCCCCUGGGUCAAGACUGACGCUCAUGCACGAAAGCGUGGGGAGCAAACAGG
rnacentral:rRNA from 1 species